rnacentral:misc_RNA from 1 species
GGUCCUACUCACAAGGG